rnacentral:lncRNA from 1 species
CAUAAAAUAAACAGGCUAAGGUACGCUGUUCUGUAUGUUUGGGGUGCAGCCAACCCGGUUGCUGUUUUUGUAGGCUGGGUGGGGUGUUCUGUAACCCUGCGCUUGGGGGGGGGGGUUUAUAGAUCGGGCAGCGCUGUGAUAAUGAUGGACCCUCUGCUCUGCCUUUAUUGGAAAUUGGGUGUGCUUAUUGGGGAGUAGACCAGAGUAAGGGGGGGGGGGAACUUACGACCCGUUCCCUCUCUAAGGACUUGGAUUAGGAUGCGGGGGUAACAUGGGGUGGUUUGCUGUUAUUUGUAUUACCCUUGUGAAAAUCGUAGGUUCGAAGUGUGAGGACAAUUCACAGGCUACCGCCCCACUAUGUGUGGACUGUGUUGGUUGUGAUGUGUUUCAAUAAGCGGGGAAAAUGUCAACUGCCCCUCCACGUGGCUCAGAGCAGGCCUUCUAUCUUACAUGUCUUACUUUACAUUACUUGUUUUCCUCUGCCAUGGCAAUACCUCACCGUACGACCAAUAAGGUCCGAGUGCCGCGUAAGUACCCUUGGUUUACAUGUGGUAUUGUAUGUGUUGUCAUGCAUAAGUAAGUUAAGUUCAACUAAAUUCAAACUAGGUAAAUUAAAUUCAACUGAUACAGGUACACUUCCAGGUUGGGACAUAUAUGUAAAAUGAGGCGAUCAAAUAUCUACAGUACAAUGUGUCCUUUUGCAGUUUAGAAGGUGUAAGGUACUAUUAAGGGACAAGUCCUUCAAGUUUUCAUAUUGUUGAGUGUCCUUGAAGACCAUCGGAAACAGUCACUAGGCUACCACUGCAAGCGCCGUGGGAUCGGUACCAGCGACUCAAGGAUUCACAUUUUGCUUUGGCUUUCGCCACGGUAAGCACUCGUAUAUGAGCAGGUGUGUUUGUUCCCAUUUGUAGGUGAAGGCACCUUGUUGCCGAGCACUGAACUGUGGAACCUCAAACUUAACACUUUGUUCCCGGCUAGGGAGGGGAGGGAGGGGCAGGGCAGGCUUUUAAAUAAGGUUGAACGAGUUCAGUUCCUCAGGUACUUGGUCUGUGCUGUUCCUUCCUCCCUGGGUUACUGGAGGUUGAAUUUGCCCCGGAGGGGGCCUGGCCUGUCUUGUGGGUUCCAGAUGGUUGGAAUGGUAUGAGCCUAUCUAUGUCCCAAUUAUGUGGUGCUUUCCGCCCCUGUACCUGCGCCCUCUGUUCCAGAAGGCUCUUUAGGCCCAAGGCCUGGAGCGCUGCGUCUGAUUCUGCGGCUGUGGUAAGUCGUAAGCUUUUCUCUCCUUGCGAUAUGAACAGGCUCCUGGGGGUGCCCCAACGGUAUGGGAUUGAAUGGGUGCGUAGUGUCGAGGUCAGAGGUUUAAACUGGCUUCUCCAUAACAGUGUAGGUCUGGAUAGAUCCUGAAAGAAUACUAGGUGAGUGUUUUCGAAGGAAUAAGCGGGCUGUCCCCUCACUGCCGCCAUUACUUGUAGUUGCGCUGAUCUUGUCUGGAACUGGACGAUAACGUCCCUUGGGGAGUCCGCUGGUGCCCUCGUAGCUUUAGGUAUGCGGAAUAUCCCGUCCACCAGGACUUGUUUGCUCUGCCUGGGGUUUAGUAUGGUGCUCAGCAGCCUCCUGGCAUAAUGGGGAA